rnacentral:snRNA from 1 species
AUGGAUCCGUAACUUCGG